ensembl:snoRNA
AUCCUUUUGUAGUUCUUAAGUAUGAUGAUUGGCUUUGCAUGCUCACAUAUGAGAUGUGCCUUUCGUAACCUUAACAUUGACCUCUUACCUCUCUGAUG